CAGCACCUCAAGUGGUCAGGAUGAUUAUUGGGCCUAAAGCAUCCGUAGCCGGCGCUGUAAGUUUUCGGUUAAAUCUGUACGCUCAACGUACAGGCUGCCGGGAAUACUGCAGCGCUAGGGAGUGGGAGAGGUAGACGGUACUCGGUAGGAAGGGGUAAAAUCCUUUGAUCUAUUGAUGACCACCUGUGGCGAAGGCGGUCUACCAGAACACGUCCGACGGUGAGGGAUGAAAGCUGCGGGAGCAAACCGGAUUAGAUACCCGCGUAGUCC
rnacentral:rRNA from 1 species